ACAAUACUCCCUCCGUCCCAAAAUUCUUGUCUUAGAUUUGUCUAAAUACGGAUGUAUCAAGUCACAUUUUAGUAUUAGAUACAUCCGUAUCUAGGCAAAUCUAAGACAAGAAUUUUGGGACGGAGGAAGUACAUC
rnacentral:pre_miRNA from 1 species